rnacentral:rRNA from 1 species
UACAGAGGUCUCAAGCGUUGUUCGGAUUCAUUGGGCGUAAAGGGUGCGUAGGUGGCGAGGUUAGUCAGGUGUGAAAUCUCGGGGCUCAACCCCGAAACUGCACUUGAUACUGCCUUGCUAGAGUACUGGAGAGGAGAUUGGAAUUUACGGUGUAGCAGUGAAAUGCGUAGAUAUCGUAAGGAAGACCAGUGGCGAAGGCGGGUCUCUGGACAGUUCCUGACACUGAGGCACGAAGGCCAGGGGAGCAAACGGG